CCUACGGGAGGCAGCAGUGGGGGAUAUUGCACAAUGGGGGAAACCCUGAUGCAGCGACGCCGCGUGGGCGAAGAAGUAUUUCGGUAUGUAAAGCCCUAUCAGCAGGGAAGAAGAAAUGACGGUACCUGCAGAAGAAGCCCCGGCUAACUACGUGACAGCAGCCGCGGUAAUACGUAGGGGGCAAGCGUUAUCCGGAUUUACUGGGAGUAAAGGGGGCGCAGACGGCGAUGCAAGCCAGGAGUGAAAGCCCGGGGCACAACCCCGGGACUGCUCUUGGAACUGCGUGGCUGGAGUGCAGGAGGGGCAGGCGGAAUUCCUGGUGUAGCGGUGACAUGCGUAGAUAUCAGGAGGAACACCGGUGGCGAAGGCGGCCUGCUGGACUGCAACUGACGUUGAGGCCCGAAAGCGUGGGGAGCAAACAGGAUUAGAUACCCUUGUAGUC
rnacentral:rRNA from 1 species